GUUCCUGGAGCGCAAUGAAUAGCGCGUUGAACUUCUAUUCCAACGGGCGUGGGUUCGAAUACCACCGGGAAUG
rnacentral:tRNA from 1 species